UGGUUCAGAAGCAAAUGGCCUUCAUGCUGGGCCGCCACGGGGUCUUUCUGGAGCUAAGUGAGGAUGUCGAAGAAUAUGAGGAUCUUACAGAGAUCAUGUCUAAUGUCCAGCUCAACAGUAAUUUUCUGGCCUUGGCCAGGGAACUGGACAUCAUGGAGCCCAAGGUGCCAGAUGACAUUUACAAAACGCAU